AUUGAACGCUGGCGGCAGGCUUAACACAUGCAAGUCGAGCGAGUGGCGGACGGGUGAGUAAUGCUUGGGAAUCUGGCUUAUGGAGGGGGAUAACUACGGGAAGCUAUAGCUAAUACCGCGUACCUUAGGAUAGGCCGAAGUGGGAUUAGGUAGGUGGUGAGGUAAAGGCGCACCAAGCCGACGAUCUCUAGCUGGUCUGAGAGGAUGAACAGCCACACUGGGACUGAGACACGGCCCAGACUCCUACGGGAGGCAGCAGUGGGGAAUAUUGCGCAAUGGGGGCAACCUGACGCAGCCAUGCCGCGUGAAUGAAGAAGGCCUUCGGGUUGUAAAGUACUUUCGGUAGGGAGGCGUUAACUACAGAAGAAGCACCGGCUAACUCCGUGCCAGCAGCCGCGGUAAUUC
rnacentral:rRNA from 1 species